UUUUGCAUGCACUGCCCAGGAGACACCAAAUCCCUUCUGAUAUUGGAAGCUAAGCAGGUUCAUCCUUUGGUCAGUACUUGGAUGGGGGACCACCAAAAGAUAUCAGGCACUGGAGGGU
rnacentral:rRNA from 11 species